rnacentral:rRNA from 1 species
AAUAUUGGACAAUGGGCGAAAGCCUGAUCCAGCCAUGCCGCGUGUGUGAAGACGGUCUUCGGAUUGUAAAGCACUUUAUGUUGGGAGGCAGAGUUGUAGGCUACUACUUCUCACUUUUGACGUUACCAACAGAAUAAGCACCGGCUAACUUCGUGCUAGCAGCCGCGGUAAUACGAAGGGUGCAAGCGUGAAUCGGAAUUACUGGGCGUAAAGCGAGCGUAGGUGGUUUGUUAAGUUGGAAGUGAAAGCACCGGGCUCAACCUGGGAACUGCUUUCAAAACUGGCAAGCUAGAGUAUGGCAGAGGGUGGUGGAAUUUCCUGUGUAGCGGUGAAAUGCGUAGAUAUAGGAAGGAACACCAGUGGCGAAGGCGACCACCUGGGCUAAUACUGACACUGAGGUGCGAAAGCGUGGGGAGCAAACAGG